rnacentral:rRNA from 1 species
GAUUCCCCCAGUAACGGCGAGCGAAAAGGGAAAAGCUCAGCGCCAAGUCCCGUCGUCUUUUGGCGUGCGGGAGAUGCGGCGUGAAUGUUGCAGUGCUACGUGCCAACCGAGCAGCGCAAGUCCCUCUGACAAGGGCUUCUUCCAUAGCGGGUGCUAGGCCCAUAGCUGUUGCUUGACGAAAGUUGGUGCGCCAGCUGUAGCGUACUAGAGUCAGGUUGCUUGAGAGUGCAACCCAAAGUAGGUGGUAAACUCCACCUAAGGCUAAAUACUGCCGUGAGACCGAUAGCAAACAAGUACCGUGAGGGAAAGUUGCAAAGAACUUUGAAGAGAGAGUUCAAAAGGACGUGAAACCGUUUGUAGGUAAACAGGUGGAACUACGAAGUUGACUACGGAAAGAGGAUUCAACUGUUCCGGGUGAGGCGGCUGUCGGUGUCGAUCUGUGGCUCUCGCGAGAGGGCACACACCGGUGGCUCUAAACUGCUUCUACCCGGGCGGUGCAUUUCUUCAGUUCCGUGCUAAAGCCAUGACCAGUUGGAGGUCUGGGACGGCCGUAUGCGAGAGGCGAUAGAAGGUACCUGGAGCAGGCGGUUCUCGGACCGUCACACCAGUGUUAUAGCUGUCGUCGUUCGGCGUCGUCGCCAAGAGGACCGACUGGCUUCAAGUUCUCCGCUCCAUGCGGGGUAUGCAAGUAUUGCAGCCGGUCAGUGUCGCUGACGAGACUAGCGCUAUGGCUGUGCCGUCUAUUUGGGUUCUUUGCCUGAAAGACGCAUGCCAGAGUCGGUCUAUGCGGCGGUGGCAUCUGAUCGGUUGUGGCACAAUCGAUGGCUAGUAGGUCGGUAUCCACCUGACCCGUCUUGAAACACGGACCAAGGAGUCUAACAUGUGCGCGAGUCGCUCGGUCUUGUUUAGGCCAGGGAGGCGCAAUGAAAGUAAAUUUGAUAUGUUAUGAUCCCGGUAUCGUUAGCGUUUGCGGUCCAAAAGGCCGUGAACGUGUGCCGGGCGCAAUAACGGCCCUCUCGUUUUGCUCAUAUCGACAAUUGGGAGGAGUCAUAGCGUACACGUUGGUACCCGAAAGAUGGUGAACUAUGCCUGGGCAAGACGAAGCCAGAGGAAACUCUGGUGGAGGUCUGUAGCGAUUCUGACGUGCAAAUCGAUCGUCAGACCUGGGUAUAGGGGCGAAAGACUAAUCGAACCAUCUAGUAGCUGGUUCCCUCUGAAGUUUCCCUCAGGAUAGCAGGCACUUGAUGAGAACUCAGUCUCAUCCGGUAAAGCGAAUGAUUAGAGGCAUUGGGGUCGAAACGACCUCAACCUAUUCUCAAACUUUAAAUGGGUGAGAAGCUUGACUUGUUUGAUUAAAGCCAAGCACAAAGUGGAUGAAUGAGUGCCUAGUGGGCCAUUUUUGGUAAGCAGAACUGGCGCUGUGGGAUGAACCAAACGUCGAGUUAAGGCGGCCGAUGCAUGACGCUCAUCAGAUCCCAUGAAAGGUGUUGGUUGCUAUAGACAGCAGGACGGUGGCCAUGGAAGUCGGAAUCC